GCCAGGCGUUGUGGCGGGCACCUGUGGUCCCAGCUACUUGGGAGGCGGAGGCAGGAGACUCGCUUGAGCCCAGGAGUUGGAGGUUGCUGUGAGCUAUAAUGCCACGGCACUCUACCCAGGGGGACAGCUUGAGGCUCUGUCUCAAAAAAAAAAAAAAAAAAAAAAAAAGACAGAGUCUCAUUUUAUUGCCCUUAGUAGAGUGCAGUGGAGUCACAGCUCAUAGCAAUCUCCAACUCCUAGGCUUAGGCGAUUCUCCUGU
rnacentral:sRNA from 1 species